AGAUCGCGCUCCACCGAGCCACCUCCUCCCAGGCUCCGGAGCGCGUAAAACGGACAAGGCAUCCUCCUCCCAGUCUUGUCCGCGGAAACGUCGCCCGUCAGCACCUCCUCCCGCUGACGGGCGAGCGUU
rnacentral:sRNA from 1 species